GUCCGGGCACCGCACGACGGUCAGCCCCCAACCCCGCUAGGCCCGAAAGGGAGCAACGGUACGGGGUGGAGCCGGGUGAUGCGGCCCGCUCGGGCGCA
rnacentral:SRP_RNA from 1 species